rnacentral:ncRNA from 1 species
ACAAAGGAAAUCAGAGUGUUUAAUUAAAAACAAAGUAUUGUGAUGGUUCCUAUGGAUGCUCACAUAAUGUAAUACUAAGUGCUUUGAAUGUCAAAAUAGAUUAACCAUGACUCUCUUAAGAUAGUCAAAUGUCUCAUCAUCUAAUCAAUCACGCACAUGGAUAGAUGAACUAGAUUUUU